rnacentral:misc_RNA from 1 species
AUGGGUGCCCCGACGUUGCCCCCUGCCUGGCAGCCCUUUCUCAAGGACCACCGCAUCUCUACAUUCAAGAACUGGCCCUUCUUGGAGGGCUGCGCCUGCACCCCGGAGCGGAGAGGAACAUAAAAAGCAUUCGUCCGGUUGCGCUUUCCUUUCUGUCAAGAAGCAGUUUGAAGAAUUAACCCUUGGUGAAUUUUUGAAACUGGACAGAGAAAGAGCCAAGAACAAAAUUGGUCUUACUCUGUCACCCAGGCUGAGUGCAGUGGUGUGAUCUUGGCUCACCUCAGCCUCGACCCCCUGGGCUCAAAUGAUUCUCCCACCUCAGCUUCCCAAGUAGCUGGGACCACAGGAGAGAGCUCUGUUAGCAGAAUGAAAAAAUUGGAAGCCAGAUUCAGGGAGGGACUGGAAGCAAAAGAAUUUCUGUUCGAGGAAGAGCCUGAUGUUUGCCAGGGUCUGUUUAACUGGACAUGAAGAGGAAGGCUCUGGACUUUCCUCCAGGAGUUUCAGGAGAAAGGCAAAGGAAACCAACAAUAAGAAGAAAGAAUUUGAGGAAACUGCGGAGAAAGUGCGCCGUGCCAUCGAGCAGCUGGCUGCCAUGGAUUGAGGCCUCUGGCCGGAGCUGCCUGGUCCCAGAGUGGCUGCACCACUUCCAGGGUUUAUUCCCUGGUGCCACCAGCCUUCCUGUGGGCCCCUUAGCAAUGUCUUAGGAAAGGAGAUCAACAUUUUCAAAUUAGAUGUUUCAACUGUGCUCUUGUUUUGUCUUGAAAGUGGCACCAGAGGUGCUUCUGCCUGUGCAGCGGGUGCUGCUGGUAACAGUGGC